AGAGUUUGAUCCUGGCUCAGGACUAACGCUGGCGGCGUGCCUAACACAUGCAAGUCGAACGGAAAGGCCAUAUACCCUUGUGGUAUAUGGUACUCGAGUGGCAAACGGGUGAGUAACGCGUAAGGAACCUACCUUUCAGACGGGGACAACCACGGGAAACCGUGGCUAAUACCGGAUACGUUCUUUUUAUCUCAUGGUAAGAAGAGGAAAUCAUUUAUGGCUGAAAGAUGGUCUUGCGUCCGAUUAGCUAGUUGGUAAGGUAAUGACUUACCAAGGCGAUGAUCGGUAGCUGGUCUGAGAGGAUGAUCAGCCACAUUGGGACUGAGACACGGCCCGGACUCCUACGGGAGGCAGCAGUGAGGAAUUUUGCGCAAUGGGCGAAAGCCUGACGCAGCGACGCCGCGUGGAGGACGAAGUCUUUCGGGAUGUAAACUCCUGUCAGUGGGGAAGAUAAUGACGGUACCCACAGAGGAAGCACCGGCUAACUAUGUGCCAGCAGCCGCGGUAAUACAUAGGGUGCAAGCGUUGUCCGGAUUUAUUGGGCGUAAAGCGCGCGUAGGUGGUAAGUUAAGUUGGAUUUAAAAGUCUGUGGCUCAACCAUAGUUUGGGUCCAAAACUGGUUUACUAGAGAGCAGGAGAGGGAAGUAGAAUUCACAGUGUAGCGGUGAAAUGCGUAGAUAUUGUGAGGAAUACCAGUGGCGAAGGCGGCUUCCUGGACUGCUUCUGACACUAAGGCGCGAAAGCGUGGGUAGCAAACAGGAUUAGAUACCCUGGUAGUCCACGCUGUAAACGAUGUUCAUUAGGUGUGGGAGGUUUCAAGACCUUCUGUGCCGUAGCUAACGCGUUAAAUGAACCGCCUGGGGAGUACGACCGCAAGGUUAAAACUCAAAGGAAUUGACGGGGGCCCGCACAAGCAGUGGAUCAUGUGGUUUAAUUCGAUGAUACACGAAAAACCUUACCAGCACUUGACAUCCAGAGAACUUUCUAGAGAUAGAUUGGUGCCCUUUUGGGAACUCUGUGACAGGUGGUGCAUGGUUGUCGUCAGCUCGUGUCGUGAGAUGUUGGGUUAAGUCCCGCAACGAGCGCAACCCUCGUCCUAUGUUGCUACCUUUUUGGAGCACCCUUAGGAGACUGCCUGUGGAAAACAGGAGGAAGGUGGGGAUGACGUCAAAUCAUCAUGCCCCUUACGUGCUGGGCUACACACAUGAUACAAUGGUCGGUACAAAGGGUUGCUAAGCCGCGAGGUGGAGCUAAUCCCAGAAAACCGAUCCCAGUUCGGAUUGUAGUCUGCAACUCGACUACAUGAAGUUGGAAUUGCUAGUAAACGCAGAUCAGCAAGCUGCGUUGAAUACGUUCCCGGGCCUUGUACACACCGCCCGUCACACCAUGAGAGCCGGAUAUACCCGAAGUCGGUGAGCUAACCGCAAGGAGGCAGCCGCCGAAGGUAGAGCUGGUGAUUGGGGUGAAGUCGUAACAAGGUA
rnacentral:rRNA from 1 species